AGAGGGGGAUACCAGUUGGAAACGACUGUUAAUACCGCAUAAUGUCUACGGACCAAAGUNUGGGACCUUGGGCCACAUGCUGUCGGAUGCGCCUACGUGGGAUUAGCUAGUUGGUGAGGUAAUGGCUCACCAAGGCGACGAUCCCUAGCUGGUUUGAGAGGAUGAUCAGCCACACUGGAACUGAGACACGGUCCAGACUCCUACGGGAGGCAGCAGUGGGGAAUAUUGGACAAUGGGCGCAAGCCUGAUCCAGCCAUGCCGCGUGUGUGAAGAAGGCCUUCGGGUUGUAAAGCACUUUCAGCGAGGAGGAAGAGUUGUGUGUUAAUAGUACACAGCUUUGACGUUACUCGCAGAAGAAGCACCGGCUAACUCUGUG
rnacentral:rRNA from 1 species